rnacentral:rRNA from 1 species
CCUACGGGAGGCAGCAGUGGGGAAUAUUGGACAAUGGGCGAAAGCCUGAUCCAGCAAUGCCGCGUGAGUGAUGAAGGCCUUAGGGUUGUAAAGCUCUUUCGCCGGUGAAGAUAAUGACGGUAGCCGGUAAAGAAGCCCCGGCUAACUCCGUGCCAGCAGCCGCGGUAAU